rnacentral:rRNA from 1 species
AGCGCAGGCGGGUUUUCAAGUCGACGGUGAAAUCUUGCAGCUUAACUGCAAAACUGCCGCCGAUACUGUUUACCUUGAGUAUGGGAAAGGGUGAUGGAAUUCAUGGUGUAGCGGUGAAAUGCGUAGAUAUCAUGAAGAACACCAGUAGCGAAGGCGGUCACCUAGCCCAUUACUGACGCUCAUGCUCGAAAGUGUGGGGAGCAAACAGGAUUAGAUACCCUGGUAGUCCACACCUUAAACGAUGAAUACUCGGUGUUGGGUCGCAAGACUCAGCGCCUAAGCCAACGCAUUAAGUAUUCCACCUGGGAAGUACGAUCGCAAGGUUGAA